AUACUUACCUGGACGGGGUCUAUGGAUGAUCAAGAAGGCUCAUGGCCUAGAUCAAUGGUUCAUAUUGCACGUAGUGAGUGCGUUGAUCUACCAUCUUCUUUGGGAGAGUGGACGUUAUAAUUUAUGAUAGAGGGGGUACGCGUCCGCGCGGCCCCUAC
rnacentral:snRNA from 2 species